rnacentral:rRNA from 1 species
UACAGAGACUGCAAGCGUUAUUCGGAUUCACUGGGCGUAAAGGGUGCGCAGGCGGUCGGGUGUGUCAGAUGUGAAAUCCCGAGGCUCAACCUCGGAACUGCGUCUGAAACUACUCGACUAGAGUACUGGAGAGGGUAACGGAAUUCACGGUGUAGCAGUGAAAUGCGUAGAUAUCGUGAGGAACACCAGAGGCGAAGGCGGUUUCCUGGACAGUUACUGACGCUCAGGCACGAAAGCAUGGGGAGCAAAAGGG